rnacentral:rRNA from 1 species
GGGUUGUGAGGUUAAGCGACUAAGCGUACACGGUGGAUGCCCUGGCAGUCAGAGGCGAUGAAGGACGUGCUAAUCUGCGAAAAGCGUCGGUAAGGUGAUAUGAACCGUUAUAACCGGCGAUGUCCGAAUGGGGAAACCCAGUGUGAUUCGUCACACUAUCGUUAACUGAAUACAUAGGUUAACGAGGCGAACCGGGGGAACUGAAACAUCUAAGUACCCCGAGGAAAAGAAAUCAACCGAGAUUCCCCCAGUAGCGGCGAGCGAACGGGGAGCAGCCCAGAGUCUGAAUCAGCUUGUGUGUUAGUGGAACGGUCUGGAAAGUCCGACGGUACAGGGUGAUAGUCCCGUACACCAAAAUGCACAGGUUGUGAACUCGAAGAGUAGGGCGGGACACGUGGUAUCCUGUCUGAAUAUGGGGGGACCAUCCUCCAAGGCUAAAUACUCCUGAGUGACCGAUAGUGAACCAGUACCGUGAGGGAAAGGCGAAAAGAACCCCGGCGAGGGGAGUGAAAAAGAACCUGAAACCGUGUACGUACAAGCAGUGGGAGCACCUUCGGGUGUGACUGCGUACCUUUUGUAUAAUGGGUCAGCGACUUAUAUUCUGUAGCAAGGUUAACCGUAUAGGGGAGCCGCAGGGAAACCGAGUCUUAACUGGGCGUUAAGUUGCAGGGUAUAGACCCGAAACCCGGUGAUCUAGCCAUGGGCAGGUUGAAGGUUGGGUAACACUAACUGGAGGACCGAACCGACUAAUGUUGAAAAAUUAGCGGAUGACUUGUGGCUGGGGGUGAAAGGCCAAUCAAACCGGGAGAUAGCUGGUUCUCCCCGAAAGCUAUUUAGGUAGCGCCUCGUGAACUCAUCUUCGGGGGUAGAGCACUGUUUCGGCUAGGGGGUCAUCCCGACUUACCAACCCGAUGCAAACUACGAAUACCGAAGAAUGUUAUCACGGGAGACACACGGCGGGUGCUAACGUCCGUCGUGAAGAGGGAAACAACCCAGACCGCCAGCUAAGGUCCCAAAGUCAUGGUUAAGUGGGAAACGAUGUGGGAAGGCACAGACAGCCAGGAUGUUGGCUUAGAAGCAGCCAUCAUUUAAAGAAAGCGUAAUAGCUCACUGGUCGAGUCGGCCUGCGCGGAAGAUGUAACGGGGCUAAACCAUGCACCGAAGCUGCGGCAGCGACACUAUGUGUUGUUGGGUAGGGGAGCGUUCUGUAAGCCUGCGAAGGUGACCUGUGAGGGUUGCUGGAGGUAUCAGAAGUGCGAAUGCUGACAUAAGUAACGAUAAAGCGGGUGAAAAGCCCGCUCGCCGGAAGACCAAGGGUUCCUGUCCAACGUUAAUCGGGGCAGGGUGAGUCGACCCCUAAGGCGAGGCCGAAAGGCGUAGUCGAUGGGAAACAGGUUAAUAUUCCUGUACUUGGUGUUACUGCGAAGGGGGGACGGAGAAGGCUAUGUUAGCCGGGCGACGGUUGUCCCGGUUUAAGCAUGUAGGCUGAUUGUCCAGGCAAAUCCGGAUAAUCAAGGCUGAGGUGUGAUGACGAGGCACUACGGUGCUGAAGUAACAAAUGCCCUGCUUCCAGGAAAAGCCUCUAAGCAUCAGGUAACAUUAAAUCGUACCCCAAACCGACACAGGUGGUCAGGUAGAGAAUACCAAGGCGCUUGAGAGAACUCGGGUGAAGGAACUAGGCAAAAUGGUGCCGUAACUUCGGGAGAAGGCACGCUGGUGUGUAGGUGAAGUCCCUGCGGAUGGAGCUGAGACCAGUCGAAGAUACCAGCUGGCUGCAACUGUUUAUUAAAAACACAGCACUGUGCAAACACGAAAGUGGACGUAUACGGUGUGACGCCUGCCCGGUGCCGGAAGGUUAAUUGAUGGGGUUAUCCGUAAGGAGAAGCUCUUGAUCGAAGCCCCGGUAAACGGCGGCCGUAACUAUAACGGUCCUAAGGUAGCGAAAUUCCUUGUCGGGUAAGUUCCGACCUGCACGAAUGGCGUAAUGAUGGCCAGGCUGUCUCCACCCGAGACUCAGUGAAAUUGAACUCGCUGUGAAGAUGCAGUGUACCCGCGGCAAGACGGAAAGACCCCGUGAACCUUUACUAUAGCUUGACACUGAACAUUGAGCCUUGAUGUGUAGGAUAGGUGGGAGGCUUUGAAGCGUGGACGCCAGUCUGCGUGGAGCCAACCUUGAAAUACCACCCUUUAAUGUUUGAUGUUCUAACGUUGGCCCCUUACCGGGGUUGCGGACAGUGUCUGGUGGGUAGUUUGACUGGGGCGGUCUCCUCCCAAAGCGUAACGGAGGAGCACGAAGGUUAGCUAAUCCUGGUCGGACAUCAGGAGGUUAGUGCAAUGGCAUAAGCUAGCUUGACUGCGAGCGUGACGGCGCGAGCAGGUGCGAAAGCAGGUCAUAGUGAUCCGGUGGUUCUGAAUGGAAGGGCCAUCGCUCAACGGAUAAAAGGUACUCCGGGGAUAACAGGCUGAUACCGCCCAAGAGUUCAUAUCGACGGCGGUGUUUGGCACCUCGAUGUCGGCUCAUCACAUCCUGGGGCUGAAGUAGGUCCCAAGGGUAUGGCUGUUCGCCAUUUAAAGUGGUACGCGAGCUGGGUUUAGAACGUCGUGAGACAGUUCGGUCCCUAUCUGCCGUGGGCGCUGGAGAAUUGAGGGGGGCUGCUCCUAGUACGAGAGGACCGGAGUGGACGCAUCACUGGUGUUCGGGUUGUCAUGCCAAUGGCACUGCCCGGUAGCUAAAUGCGGAAGAGAUAAGUGCUGAAAGCAUCUAAGCACGAAACUUGCCCCGAGAUGAGUUCUCCCUGAGACUUUAAGUCUCCUGAAGGAACGUUAAAGACGAUGACGUUGAUAGGCCGGGUGUGUAAGCGCAGCGAUGCGUUGAGCUAACCGGUACUAAUGAACCGUGAGGCUUAACCUUACAACGCCGAAG